rnacentral:rRNA from 1 species
GACGAACGCUGGCGGCGUGCCUAAUACAUGCAAGUCGAACGCACGAAGUUGAAGAGCUUGCUCCUUAACCAAGUGAGUGGCGGACGGGUGAGUAACACGUGGGUAACCUGCCCAUUAGAGGGGGAUAACAUUCGGAAACGGAUGCUAAUACCGCAUAGUUUCAGGAAUCGCAUGAUUCUUGAAGGAAAGGUGGCUUCGGCUACCACUAAUGGAUGGACCCGCGGCGUAUUAGCUAGUUGGUGAGGUAAUGGCUCACCAAGGCAAUGAUACGUAGCCGACCUGAGAGGGUGAUCGGCCACACUGGGACUGAGACACGGCCCAGACUCCUACGGGAGGCAGCAGUAGGGAAUCUUCCGCAAUGGACGAAAGUCUGACGGAGCAACGCCGCGUGAGUGAAGAAGGUUUUCGGAUCGUAAAACUCUGUUGUUAAAGAAGAACAAGGAUGAGAGUAACUGCUUAUCCCCUGACGGUAUUUAACCAGAAAGCCACGGCUAACUACGUGCCAGCAGCCGCGGUAAUACGUAGGUGGCAAGCGUUGUCCGGAUUUAUUGGGCGUAAAGCGAGCGCAGGCGGUUCUUUAAGUCUGAUGUGAAAGCCCCCGGCUCAACCGGGGAGGGUCAUUGGAAACUGGAGAACUUGAGUGCAGAAGAGGAGAGUGGAAUUCCACGUGUAGCGGUGAAAUGCGUAGAUAUGUGGAGGAACACCAGUGGCGAAGGCGACUCUCUGGUCUGUAACUGACGCUGAGGCUCGAAAGCGUGGGGAGCAAACAGG